rnacentral:rRNA from 1 species
GGCAGCUACACAUGCAAGUCGAGCGGUAGCACAGAGAGCUUGCUCUCGGGUGACGAGCGGCGGACGGGUGAGUAAUGUCUGGGAAACUGCCUGAUGGAGGGGGAUAACUACUGGAAACGGUAGCUAAUACCGCAUAACGUCGCAAGACCAAAGUGGGGGACCUUCGGGCCUCAUGCCAUCAGAUGUGCCCAGAUGGGAUUAGCUAGUAGGUGGGGUAACGGCUCACCUAGGCGACGAUCCCUAGCUGGUCUGAGAGGAUGACCAGCCACACUGGAACUGAGACACGGUCCAGACUCCUACGGGAGGCAGCAGUGGGGAAUAUUGCACAAUGGGCGCAAGCCUGAUGCAGCCAUGCCGCGUGUAUGAAGAAGGCCUUCGGGUUGUAAAGUACUUUCAGCGGGGAGGAAGGCGAUAAGGUUAAUAACCUUGUCGAUUGACGUUACCCGCAGAAGAAGCACCGGCUAACUCCGUGCCAGCAGCCGCGGUAAUACGGAGGGUGCAAGCGUUAAUCGGAAUUACUGGGCGUAAAGCGCACGCAGGCGGUCUGUCAAGUCGGAUGUGAAAUCCCCGGGCUCAACCUGGGAACUGCAUUCGAAACUGGCAGGCUAGAGUCUUGUAGAGGGGGGUAGAAUUCCAGGUGUAGCGGUGAAAUGCGUAGAGAUCUGGAGGAAUACCGGUGGCGAAGGCGGCCCCCUGGACAAAGACUGACGCUCAGGUGCGAAAGCGUGGGGAGCAAACAGGAUUAGAUACCCUGGUAGUCCACGCCGUAAACGAUGUCGAUUUGGAGGUUGUGCCCUUGAGGCGUGGCUUCCGGAGCUAACGCGUUAAAUCGACCGCCUGGGGAGUACGGCCGCAAGGUUAAAACUCAAAUGAAUUGACGGGGGCCCGCACAAGCGGUGGAGCAUGUGGUUUAAUUCGAUGCAACGCGAAGAACCUUACCUGGUCUUGACAUCCACAGAACUUACCAGAGAUGGCUUGGUGCCUUCGGGAACUGUGAGACAGGUGCUGCAUGGCUGUCGUCAGCUCGUGUUGUGAAAUGUUGGGUUAAGUCCCGCAACGAGCGCAACCCUUAUCCUUUGUUGCCAGCGGUCCGGCCGGGAACUCAAAGGAGACUGCCAGUGAUAAACUGGAGGAAGGUGGGGAUGACGUCAAGUCAUCAUGGCCCUUACGACCAGGGCUACACACGUGCUACAAUGGCAUAUACAAAGAGAAGCGACCUCGCGAGAGCAAGCGGACCUCAUAAAGUAUGUCGUAGUCCGGAUUGGAGUCUGCAACUCGACUCCAUGAAGUCGGAAUCGCUAGUAAUCGUAGAUCAGAAUGCUACGGUGAAUACGUUCCCGGGCCUUGUACACACCGCCCGUCACACCAUGGGAGUGGGUUGCAAAAGAAGUAGGUAGCUUAACCUUCGGGAGGGCGCUUACCACUUGGAU